rnacentral:rRNA from 1 species
GUCUACAACCAUGCUAUUCUGAACAAGCCUGAUCCCGUCUGAUCUUGGAAGCUAAGCAGGGUCAGGCUUGGUUAGUACUUGGAUGGGAAACUACCUAGGGAAACCAGGCGCUGUAGGUG